GAGGGUGUAGCUCAGGUGGUAAAGUGCAUGCUUAGCAUGCAUGAGGUCCUGGGUUCAAUCCCCAGUACCUCCA
rnacentral:tRNA from 1 species